UAUUGUUAGAGGACCUCUGAACUUUCAAUAGCGUUUCUACCUUGUUGAAACGCUAUGGAUAGUGUUUCACAAUUUUUACAUGACGCGGAAGUAUAUUUAAUAGCAUUACCAUAUUAAAACGCUAUUGAAAGGGUUGGGCGCUAAAAAUUUCCCAUUCCCGCUACUACACUUAGAAAUAUUUUUGGGCAUUUCUUUUCUUUUUCCCCUUAGCUCAUCUUUGUCGACUUUACUCUUCAAUUUUUAGGGUUUCCUCUUUCUCUCCUCUUUGCUAUCUCCGACAAACACAAAACAGAAAUUUCCGAAAAAUUUCAACGUCUUUGCUCUCUCCGCAUCUUCCUUAGGUUCUCCCAUCUUCCUUGUAUGCUCGAUCUGUUUGGGAAUCCCACUAAAUCGAAGGUCGUAGUCGAACCAGUAUCCAAACACAUCACUUGUCCAGAUUGAAGGAGUCAACACCCAAGAGAAGUUCGAGUUAAUCAGAAGAGAACAAACUCUAUCAGGUAUAUGAUUCUUCUAUCAGAUUACUUGUAUUGUUGUUUUGGCUUUGAAAGUGACUGCCUCUGAAAAUUACUUGUAUGCACAUUUGGUCGGAGCUCUUGUGAAAUGGAUAAAGCUUGGGUUUGGUUGCCAAGGUAUUAACUUGUUCUUACAUAUAUGCAUUGAUUUUAUUUUAUGAUUGACUGUUCUCAGUUUGUAAUGGGUACUAUUUGUUAACGUGUAGGAAUAGCCUUGAGUA